rnacentral:rRNA from 1 species
UACGUAGGGUGCGAGCGUUUAAUCGGAAUUACUGGGCGUAAAGCGUGCGCAGGCGGUUGUGCAAGACAGAUGUGAAAUCCCCGGGCUCAACCUGGGAAUUGCAUUUUGUGACUGCACGGCUAGAGUGUGUCAGAGGGGGGGUAGAAUUCCACGUGUAGCAGUGAAAAUGCGUAGAGAUGUGGAGGAAUACCGAUGGCGAAGGCAGCCCCCCCUGGGAUAACACUACGCUCAUGCACGAAAAGCGUGGGGGAGCAAACAGGAUU